rnacentral:misc_RNA from 1 species
AUGUGUAUAAGAGACAGGUGAGUCAUCGAAUCUUUGAACGCACAUUGCGCCCGUUAGUACUCUGACGGGCAUGCCUGUUCGAGCGUCAUUUCAACCCUCAGGCCCGGCCUGGUGAUGGGGCGCCCGCGGUCUAGCGCCGCGGGGCCCUGAAGAGCAGCGGCGGGCUCUGCUGAUACCCGAGCGUAGUAAUCUUCUCGCUUAGGGGACCGGUAGGCGCCUUGCCUCGUACCACAAUUUUUAUUGUUGACCUCGGAUCAGGUAGGAAUACCCGCUGAACUUAAGCAUAUCAAUAAGCGGAGG